rnacentral:rRNA from 1 species
UGGGGAAUAUUGGGCAAUGGGGGCAACCCUGACCCAGCGACGCCGCGUGGGUGAAGAAAUCCCUCGGGAUGUAAAGCCCUGUUGUAUGGGAAGAGCAGAAGACGGUACCAUACGAGGAAGCCCCGGCAAACUACGUGCCAGCAGCCGCGGUAAUACGUAGGGGGCAAGCGUUGUCCGGAAUUACUGGGCGUAAAGCGCACGCAGGCUGAAUUAUAAGUCGGUCGUCAAAGGCGGAAUUAUAAGUCGGAGGUCAAAGGCGGAGGCGCAAC